rnacentral:rRNA from 1 species
UGGGGAAUUUUGGACAAUGGGGGAAACCCUGAUCCAGCCAUCCCGCGUGUGCGAUGAAGGCCUUCGGGUUGUAAAGCACUUUUUGCAGGAAAGAAACGUCAUGGGUUAAUACCCCGUGAAACUGACGGUACCUGCAGAAUAAGCACCGGCUAACUACGUGCCAGCAGCCGCGGUAAUACGUAGGGUGCAAGCGUUAAUCGGAAUUACUGGGCGUAAAGCGUGCGCAGGCGGUUCGGAAAGAAAGAUGUGAAAUCCCAGAGCUCAACUUUGGAACUGCAUUUUUAACUACCGGGCUAGGGUGUGUCAGAGGGAGGUGGAAUUCCGCGUGUAGAAGUGAAAUGCGUAGGUAUGCGGAGGAACACCGAUGGCGAAGGCAACCUCCUGGGAUAACACUGAAGCUCAUGCACGAAAGCGUGGGGAGCAAACAGG